rnacentral:snRNA from 1 species
GUUCAUUUCUGAACGUCUACUAAAAUUGGAACAAUAUAGAGAAGAUUAACAUGACCUUUGCGAAAGGAUGAUACGCAAAUUCGUAAAGAGUUCCAAAAUAAA